UACGAAGGGGGCUAGCGUUGCUCGGAAUUACUGGGCGUAAAGCGCACGUAGGCGGCUUUCUAAGUCGGGGGUGAAAUCCUGGAGCUCAACUCCAGAACUGCCUUCGAUACUGGAAAGCUCGAGUCCGGGAGAGGUGAGUGGAACUGCGAGUGUAGAGGUGAAAUUCGUAGAUAUUCGCAAGAACACCAGUGGCGAAGGCGGCUCACCGGCCCAUUACUGACGCUGAGGCACGAAAGCGUGGGGAGCAAACAGG
rnacentral:rRNA from 1 species